rnacentral:rRNA from 1 species
UACAGAGGUCUCAAGCGUUGUUCGGAUUCAUUGGGCGUAAAGGGUGCGUAGGUGGCGCGCUAAGUCAGGUGUGAAAUUUCGGAGCUUAACUCCGAAACUGCAUUUGAUACUGGCGUGCUUGAGGACUGGAGAGGAGACUGGAAUUCAUGGUGUAGCAGUGAAAUGCGUAGAUAUACGGAGGAACACCUGCGGCGAAGGCGGGUAGCUGGGCCAACACUGACGCUGAUGCGCGAAAGCUAGGGGAGCAAACGGG